rnacentral:rRNA from 1 species
CUACGGGAGGCAGCAGCUAAGAAUAUUCCGCAAUGGACGAAAGUCUGACGGAGCGACGCCGCGUGGAUGAAGAAGGUCGGAAGAUUGUAAAAUCCUUUUACUGUAGAGGAAUAAGCGAUAUAGGGAAUGAUAUCGUGGUGACUGUAAGCAGAGAAUAAGAGGCGGCUAAUUACGUGCCAGCAGCCGC